GCUUUCUUAGUGUAGUGGUCAGCACGCUCGACAAGUAUCCGAGAGGUCCGUGGUUCAAUUCCCAGCGAGGGCA
rnacentral:tRNA from 1 species